rnacentral:rRNA from 1 species
AGCGAACGCUGGCGGCAGGCCUAACACAUGCAAGUCGAACGAAGUCCUCGGACUUAGUGGCGGACGGGUGAGUAACACGUGGGAACGUGCCUUUAGGUUCGGAAUAACUCAGGGAAACUUGUGCUAAUACCGAAUGUGCCCUUCGGGGGAAAGAUUUAUCGCCUUUAGAGCGGCCCGCGUCUGAUUAGCUAGUUGGUGAGGUAAAGGCUCACCAAGGCGACGAUCAGUAGCUGGUCUGAGAGGAUGAUCAGCCACAUUGGGACUGAGACACGGCCCAAACUCCUACGGGAGGCAGCAGUGGGGAAUCUUGCGCAAUGGGCAAAAGCCUGACGCAGCCAUGCCGCGUGAACGAUGAAGGUCUUAGGAUUGUAAAAUUCUUUCACCGGGGACGAUAAUGACGGUACCCGGAGAAGAAGCCCCGGCUAACUUCGUGCCAGCCGCCGCCGUAACAC